AUACGGAGGGUGCGAGCGUUAAUCGGAAUUACUGGGCGUAAAGGGUGCGUAGGCGGCUUGAUAAGUCGGAUGUGAAAGCCCAGGGCUUAACCUGGGAAUUGCAUUCGAUACUGUCAGGCUAGAGUAUGUCAGAGGUUGGCGGAAUUCCUGGUGUAGCGGUGAAAUGCGUAGAUAUCAGGAGGAACACCAGUGGCGAAGGCGGCUAACUGGGGCAAUACUGACGCUGAGGCACGAAAGCGUGGGUAGCAAACAGGAUUAGAAACCCUAGUAGUCC
rnacentral:rRNA from 1 species